UACAGAGGUCCCAAGCGUUGUUCGGAUUCACUGGGCGUAAAGGGUGCGUAGGCGGUCGGGUAAGUCUGACGUGAAAUCUCCAAGCUCAACUUGGAAAUGGCGUCGGAUACUAUUCGGCUCGAGGAAUGGAGGGGAGACUGGAAUUCUCGGUGUAGCAGUGAAAUGCGUAGAUAUCGAGAGGAACACCCGUGGCGAAGGCGAGUCUCUGGACAUUUCCUGACGCUGAGGCACGAAAGCCAGGGGAGCAAACGGG
rnacentral:rRNA from 1 species